AGUGAACGCUGGCGGUAGGCCUAACACAUGCAAGUCGAACGGCAGCACAGUAAGAGCUUGCUCUUACGGGUGGCGAGUGGCGGACGGGUGAGGAAUACAUCGGAAUCUACUUUUUCGUGGGGGAUAACGUAGGGAAACUUACGCUAAUACCGCAUACGACCUACGGGUGAAAGCAGGGGUUCUUCGGACCUUGCGCGACUGAAUGAGCCGAUGUCGGAUUAGCUAGUUGGCGAGGUAAAGGCCCACCAAGGCGACGAUCCGUAGCUGGUCUGAGAGGAUGAUCAGCCACACUGGAACUGAGACACGGUCCAGACUCCUACGGGAGGCAGCAGUAGGGAAUAUUGGACAAUGGGCGCAAGCCUGAUCCAGCCAUACCGCGUGAGUGAAGAAGGCCUUCGGGUUGUAAAGCCCUUUUGUUGGGAAAGAAAAGCAGCAGGUUAAUACCCCGCUGUUCUGACGGUACCCAAAGAAUAAGCACCGGCUAACUUCGUG
rnacentral:rRNA from 1 species